rnacentral:lncRNA from 1 species
CUUUUAUUUGAACUUUAGUAAUUGAGAACAUAAUCAAAAGAAUUUUGUACUUUUUUCUGAAAGGUGCCAAGAUAACGAACCCUUUGAUCAAAAGCCUUGCCCCCCUUCUGGUUACUUUCCACUUCCACUCUAGUGAACCAUUCCCAAACACCGAUCUUUAUCUUACAGCAGCAAAACAAUUCUUAACAAAGGUACGUGUAAAUGACCCUUUUUGAAUCUGUUGCCUGGGCAUGACUUCCCAUCCAUGGAAUGCAUGUGCCUGACUCAAAUUUCAUACAUCAGUUCUAUCCUUUAUAAAGAUCCAGAACAACAGCCCUUUACUUUUCCACUGUUGCUGAAGCUGGUGUUCACGUGUACAACCUUUCCCUGUGUAUACAAGUCAACCAACUGACUUGAGUAUGAGGAUGCUUUUGCUUUUGGUUCUUGUACCGCUUUCAUUGAGCGAUUGCAGUGAAGAUUUACCUGAAAAGAAAGAGCAGCUCUUUUCAGUCACCACCAACACUAAAAGUAUGAGAUUUGCGUUUUUAUUAACUCUAUUUAUGUAUAAAAAUAAAACAAACUGCAUUGUUGUCUGUGUAUGUUUUGAGUAUGUAUGUUGUGUUUCAGACAAUGCUGAGAGAGGGAAACUGACACCCGCACACCCGAUCAAUGGUCCAAUACAGCACAGUGACCAAUGUAACAUUACACCUUCAAACCAUUUUAGCAUUUCAAAACUAUCUAUUUUUCUUUUAUAGCAAAAUCACAAGAUUAAAACUGACUUUGGCUGUUCACAGUGAAUCACAAUGAGCUGGUGAACAUGCCCUAUCGUCAACGGCUGGUUGAAAGGAAAAGCAAGCGUGGGAGAUGUAAGACGAUCCUUUUAAACAUGUGUUUUACUAACUUACAUUUGCUGAAUGAUGUGGAUGUUUUAAAUCCUAUUUUUUUUACCCUCUCUCUCCAUUGUUCUCAUCUGACUUAUUUACUUCCCAUGACAAGUGAGAAGACUUUGCCAGUUAAAAAAAUCCAAAAAGGUGAGGAGGUGUUUCAGGUUUUCCAAACCGAAGAAAGAAAGAAAAUCUUCAAAGUUUAGUCUCAGUAUUCCAAUCUGAGCACCGGGAUAAUCAUCUUCCAUACCAGAGGUGAAAGUAAUGGAUUACAAGUGCUCAAGUUACUGUAAUUGUGUUGCUUUUUUAGGUACCUGUGCUUUUUUGAGUGGAGUCAUUUGUUACAUUUCUACAAUUGUUACUGAGUAAGUAAGAUUGUAAUUGUUGGAGUUCUUAUUAUUUUUCUUCCACAACUUGCUUUGUCAUAAAACUCCUCCUAGACUAUUAAUGCAGCGCUAACGGGGGCAAGUGCAGUCGUGUUUAUUACCAAAAAUAAAAGCGGGGGGUGAAAGUAACUAGUAACUACU